GAUGAACGCUGGCGGCGUGCCUAAUACAUGCAAGUCGAGCGAACAGACGAGGAGCUUGCUCCUUUGACGUUAGCGGCGGACGGGUGAGUAACACGUGGAUAACCUACCUAUAAGACUGGGAUAACUUCGGGAAACCGGAGCUAAUACCGGAUAAUAUAUUGAACCGCAUGGUUCAAUAGUGAAAGACGGUUUUGCUGUCACUUAUAGAUGGAUCCGCGCCGCAUUAGCUAGUUGGUAAGGUAACGGCUUACCAAGGCAACGAUGCGUAGCCGACCUGAGAGGGUGAUCGGCCACACUGGAACUGAGACACGGUCCAGACUCCUACGGGACGCAGCAGUAGGGAAUCUUCCGCAAUGGGCGAAAGCCUGACGGAGCAACGCCGCGUGAGUGAUGAAGGUCUUCGGAUCGUAAAACUCUGUUAUUAGGGAAGAACAAAUGUGUAAGUAACUAUGCACGUCUUGACGGUACCUAAUCAGAAAGCCACGGCUAACUACGUG
rnacentral:rRNA from 1 species